UACGUAGGGUGCAAGCGUUAAUCGGAAUUACUGGGCGUAAAGCGUGCGCAGGCGGUGAUGUAAGACAGAUGUGAAAUCCCCGGGCUCAACCUGGGAACUGCAGUUGUGACUGCAUCGCUAGAGUACGGUAGAGGGGGAUGGAAUUCCGCGUGUAGCAGUGAAAUGCGUAGAUAUCGGAAGGAACACCAGUGGCGAAAGCGGCUUCCUGGUCCAGCACCGACGUUCAGGCACGAAAGCGUGGGGAGCAAACAGG
rnacentral:rRNA from 1 species